CAGCCGCCGCGGUAACACCGGCCGCUCAAGUGGUGACCGCUAUUAUUGGGCCUAAAGCGUCCGUAGCCGGUUCGGUAAGUCCCUGGGUAAAUCCUGCCGUUUAACGGUAGGAAUUCUGGGGAUACUGCCGGACUCGGGGUCGAGAGAAGUCGGAGGUACUCCGGGGGUAGCGGUGAAAUGCUGUAAUCCUCGGGGGACCACCAGUGGCGAAGGCGUCCGACUAGAGCGGGCCCGACGGUGAGGGACGAAAGCCAGGGGAGCGAACGGGACUAGAUACCCCGGUAGUCCUGGCCGUAAACGCUGUGGGCUAGGUGUUGCAUGCUCUACGAGGGCAUGCAGUGCCGUAGAGAAGUUGAUAAGCCUACCGCCUGGGAAGUACUACCGCAAGGUAGAAACUUAAAGGAAUUGGCGGGGGAGCAC
rnacentral:rRNA from 1 species